rnacentral:tmRNA from 1 species
GGGGAUGUUCAUUUUCGACGGUGAAGUACUUUAACAUGGUUGCAAGCCGGCCUAGCCUAUCUAAGCCGUAAAACUGGUAAGGCGAAAUCAUUAAAUGCCAAUGAGGCAUUUGCUCCCCGCUACGCUUUUGCGUAAUUCGGGGUGUCCGCUAACACUCUCUCUUGGUGGGGUUUAGUCGGGCAUAACAAAAGCCAAGAUGAUCGUUUCCGGGUCGGUCCCCAGGGAAUUAUCCAAUUUAUCCAACAACCUCACUUAGUUCUGAUCUUGUCAGUCGGUAGGAACUAAGGAAUCCAAGGACUGAACAAGCUUGUAGUAACCUGUUGAUCUCUUUGCACGGACGAGGGUGCGAAGCCCUCCAUCUCCACCA